GGGUCGAGAUUCUUGCAAAAAG
rnacentral:miRNA from 1 species